AUGCAAGUCGAGCGGGGGAAGGUAGCUUGCUACUGGACCUAGCGGCGGACGGGUGAGUAAUGCUUAGGAAUCUGCCUAUUAGUGGGGGACAACAUCUCGAAAGGGAUGCUAAUACCGCAUACGUCCUACGGGAGAAAGCAGGGGAUCUUCGGACCUUGCGCUAAUAGAUGAGCCUAAGUCGGAUUAGCUAGUUGGUGGGGUAAAGGCCUACCAAGGCGACGAUCUGUAGCGGGUCUGAGAGGAUGAUCCGCCACACUGGGACUGAGACACGGCCCAGACUCCUACGGGAGGCAGCAGUGGGGAAUAUUGGACAAUGGGGGGAACCCUGAUCCAGCCAUGCCGCGUGUGUGAAGAAGGCCUUAUGGUUGUAAAGCACUUUAAGCGAGGAGGAGGCUACUUUAGUUAAUACCUAGAGAUAGUGGACGUUACUCGCAGAAUAAGCACCGGCUAACUCUGUGCCAGCAGCCGCGGUAAUACAGAGGGUGCGAGCGUUAAUCGGAUUUACUGGGCGUAAAGCGUGC
rnacentral:rRNA from 1 species